AGAGUUUGAUCCUGGCUCAGAACGAACGCUGGCGGCAGGCCUCAAACAUGCAAGUCUAGGGGGUGUAGCAAUACAUCACCGGCGGACGGGUGCGUAACACGUGGGAAUAUACCUUUUGGUUCGGAACAACGCAGGGAAACUUGCGCUAAUACCGAAUGUGCCCUUACGGGGAAAGAUUUAUCGCCAAAGGAUUAGCCCGCGUAGGAUUAGCUAGUUGGUGAGGUAAUGGCUCACCAAGGCUCCGAUCCUUAGCUGUUCUGAGAGGAAGAUCAGCCACACUGGGACUGAGACACGGCCCAGACUCCUACGGGAGGCAGCAGUUGGGAAUCUUGGACAAUGGGGGAAACCCCUGAUCCAGCCAUGCCGCGUGAGUGAUGAAGGCCUUCGGGUUGUAAAACUCUUUCGACGGGGACGAUAAUGACGGUACCCGUAGAAGAAGCUCCGGCUAACUUCGUG
rnacentral:rRNA from 1 species